CCUACGGGAGGCUGCAGUGGGGAAUAUUGCUCAAUGGGCGUAAGCCUGAACCAGCAACGUCGCGUGAGGGAUGAAGGUUCUAUGGAUCGUAAGCCUCUUUUAUGAGGGAAUAAAGUGCGGGACGUGGCCCGUUUUGUAUGUACCUUAUAAAUACGUAUCGGCUAACUCCGUGCCAGCCACCGCGGUUAUACGGAGGAUCCGGGCGUUAUCCGGCUUUAUUGGGUUUAAAGGGUGCGUAGGCGGCCUUUUAAGUCAGCGGUGAAAGUCUGUGGCUGAACCAGCGAAUUGCUGUUGAAACUGGGAGGCGUGAGUAUGUUUGAGGCAGGCGGAAUGCGCGGUGUAGCGGUGAAAUGCGUAGAUAUCACGCAGAACCCCGAUUGCGAAGGCAGCCUGCCAAGCCAUGACUGACGCUGAGGCACGAAAGCGUGGGGAUCAAACAGGAUUAGAUACCCUUGUAGUC
rnacentral:rRNA from 1 species